rnacentral:rRNA from 1 species
CAAGUCGAACGAUGAAGCUGGAGCUUGCUCCGGUGGAUUAGUGGCGAACGGGUGAGUAACACGUGAGCAAUCUGCCCUUGACUCUGGGAUAACUGCGGGAAACUGUAGCUAAUACCGGAUACGAGGCUCGAAGGCAUCUUCGGGUCUGGAAAGAAUUUCGGUCAAGGAUGAGCUCGCGGCCUAUCAGCUUGUUGGUGAGGUAAUGGCUCACCAAGGCGACGACGGGUAGCCGGCCUGAGAGGGUGACCGGCCACACUGGGACUGAGACACGGCCCAGACUCCUACGGGAGGCAGCAGUGGGGAAUAUUGCACAAUGGGCGCAAGCCUGAUGCAGCAACGCCGCGUGAGGGAUGAAGGCCUUCGGGUUGUAAACCUCUUUUAGCAGGGAAGAAGCGAAAGUGACGGUACCUGCAGAAAAAGCACCGGCUAACUACGUGCCAGCAGCCGCGGUAAUACGUAGGGUGCAAGCGUUGUCCGGAAUUAUUGGGCGUAAAGAGCUCGUAGGCGGUUUGUCGCGUCUGCUGUGAAAACCUGAGGCUCAACCUCAGACCUGCAGUGGGUACGGGCAAGCUAGAGUGCGGUAGGGGAGAUGGGAAUUCCUGGUGUAGCGGUGGAAUGCGCAGAUAUCAGGAGGAACACCGAUGGCGAAGGCACAUCUCUGGGCCGUAACUGACGCUGAGGAGCGAAAGCGUGGGGAGCGAACAGGAUUAGAUACCCUGGUAGUCCACGCCGUAAACGGUGGGUGCUAGUUGUGGGUCACAUUCCACGUGAUCCGUGACGAAGUUAACACAUUAAGCACCCCGCCUGGGGAGUACGGUCGCAAGACUAAAACUCAAAGGAAUUGACGG